rnacentral:rRNA from 1 species
UACGUAGGGCGCGAGCGUUGUCCGGAAUUAUUGGGCGUAAAGAGCUCGUAGGCGGCCUGUUGCGUCCGCUGUGAAAUCCCGGGGCUCAACCCUGGGCGUGCAGUGGAUACGGGCAGGCUGGAGGCAGGCAGGGGAGAACGGAAUUCCCGGUGUAGCGGUGAAAUGCGCAGAUAUCGGGAGGAACACCGGUGGCGAAGGCGGCCAUCUGGACGGUAACUGACGCUGAGACGCGAAAGCGUGGGGAGCAAACAGG